GGAGUGAGUGUCUGUAUUACUAAGCAGAGUCGUGUCCGAAACGCAGCCAACACUGUGGUUAAAGUCAAACAGGUGCUGGGGAGGAGCUUUGAGGAUCCUGAGGCGCAGACGCAUAAAGCUGAGAGUAAAUGUCCUUUGGUCAACAAGGGAGAGAAGCCAAUGUAUUGAGAUGACUGGAGAGACGACCAGACAAGUGGCUCCACAAGAUGUCGCCAAACUCAUCCUACACAAGAUGAA